GAUGAACGCUAGCGGCAGGCUUAAUACAUGCAAGUCGUGGGGCAGCAGGAAGUAGCAAUACUUUGCUGGCGACCGGCAAACGGGUGCGUAACACGUACGCAACUUUCCCUUUACUGGAAGAUAGCCCACCGAAAGGUGGAUUAAUACUCCAUAUUAUAAUGAAACGGCAUCGUUUUAUUAUCAAAGCUCAGGCGGUAAAGGAUGGGCGUGCGGCUGAUUAGAUAGUUGGCGGGGUAACGGCCCACCAAGUCUACGAUCAGUAGCUGAUGUGAGAGCAUGAUCAGCCACACGGGCACCGAGACACAGGCCCGACUCCUACGGGAGGCAGCAGUAAGGAAUAUUGGUCAAUGGACGCAAGUCUGAACCAGCCAUGCCGCGUGAAGGAUGAAGGUCCUCUGGAUUGUAAACUUCUUUUAUAUGGGACGAAACACUUUCUUUCUAGAGAGCUUGACGGUACCAUAGGAAUAAGCACCGGCUAACUCCGUGCCAGCCGCCGCGGUAAGAC
rnacentral:rRNA from 1 species